AACGAACGCUGGCGGCAUGCCUAACACAUGCAAGUCGAACGAGACCUUCGGGUCUAGUGGCGCACGGGUGCGUAACGCGUGGGAACCUGCCCUUAGGUUCGGAAUAACUCCCCGAAAGGGGUGCUAAUACCGGAUAAUGUCUUCGGACCAAAGAUUUAUCGCCUUUGGAUGGGCCCGCGUUGGAUUAGCUAGUUGGUAGGGUAAAAGCCUACCAAGGCGACGAUCCAUAGCUGGUCUGAGAGGAUGAUCAGCCACACUGGGACUGAGACACGGCCCAGACUCCUACGGGAGGCAGCAGUGGGGAAUAUUGGACAGUGGGCGAAAGCCUGAUCCAGCAAUGCCGCGUGAGUGAUGAAGGCCUUAGGGUUGUAAAGCUCUUUUACCCGGGAUGAUACUGACAGUACCGGGAGAAUAAGCGCCGGCUAACUCCGUG
rnacentral:rRNA from 1 species